UACGGAGGGUGCAAACGUUGCUCGGAAUCAUUGGGCGUAAAGCGCACGUAGGCGGUCCGGAAAGUCGGGUGUGAAAUCCCUCGGCUCAACCUCGGAACUGCCUUCGAUACUGCGGGUCUCGAGUCCUGGAGAGGUGAGUGGAAUUCCUAGUGUAGAGGUGAAAUUCGUAGAUAUUAGGAAGAACACCAGUGGCGAAGGCGGCUCACUGGCCCGGUACUGACGCUGAGGCGCGAAAGCGUGGGGAGCGAACAGG
rnacentral:rRNA from 1 species